AAUCAACGCUGGCGGCGUGCCUAACACAUGCAAGUCGAACGAGAAAGGGGGACUUCGGUCCCUGAGUACAGUGGCGCACGGGUGAGUAACACGUGACUUAUCUACCCUCGAGUGGGGAAUAACUUCGGGAAACCGAGGCUAAUACCGCAUAAUACCCACGGGUCAAAGGAGCAAUUCGCUUGAGGAGGAGGUCGCGGCCGAUUAGUUAGUUGGCGGGGUAAUGGCCCCACCAAGACGGUGAUCGGUAUCCGGCCUGAGAGGGCGCACGGACACACUGGAACUGAAACACGGUCCAGACUCCUACGGGAGGCAGCAGUGGGGAAUUUUGCGCAAUGGGGGAAACCCUGACGCAGCAACGCCGCGUGGAGGAUGAAAGUCUCUUGGGACGUAAACUCCUUUCGAUCGGGACGAUUAUGACGGUACCGGAAGAAGAAGCCCCGGCUAACUUCGUG
rnacentral:rRNA from 1 species